rnacentral:rRNA from 1 species
UUCGGUUGAGAGCGGCCGGUCCGCCGUUUGGUGUGCACUGGCUGGUCUCAACUUCCUGCGGAGGACGCGCUCUGGGCUUAACGGUCUGGACGUGGAGUCCGCGUGGUUACUUUGAAAAAAUUAGAGUGUUCAAAGCGGGCUUACGCUUGAAUAUUUCAGCAUGGAAUAACACUAUAGGACUCCUGUCCUAUUUCGUUGGUCUCGGGACGGGAGUAAUGAUUAAGAGGAACAGUUGGGGGCAUUCGUAUUUCAUUGUCAGAGGUGAAAUUCUUGGAUUUAUGAAAGACGAACUUCUGCGAAAGCAUUUGCCAAGGAUGUUUUCAUUAAUCAAGAACGAAAGUUGGGGGCUCGAAGAUGAUUAGAUACCAUCCUAGUCUCAACCAUAAACGAUGCCGACUAGGGAUUGGCGGAUGUUAAUUGAUGACUCCGCCAGCACCUUAUGAGAAAUCAAAGUUUUUGGGUUCCGGGGGGAGUAUGGUCGCAAGGCUGAAACU